UGCAGUCGAACGAUGAUUUCUAGCUUGCUAGAAUGAUUAGUGGCGAACGGGUGAGUAAUGUAUCGGAACGUAUCCAAUAAUGGGGGAUAACUAAUCGAAAGGUUGGCUAAUACCGCAUACGCCCUACGGGGGAAAGCAGGGGAUCUUCGGACCUUGCGUUAAUGGAGCGGCCGAUAUCUGAUUAGCUAGUUGGUGAGGUAAAAGCUCACCAAGGCGACGAUCAGUAGCUGGUCUGAGAGGACGACCAGCCACACUGGAACUGAGACACGGUCCAGACUCCUACGGGAGGCAGCAGUGGGGAAUUUUGGACAAUGGGCGAAAGCCUGAUCCAGCCAUUCCGCGUGAGUGAAGAAGGCCUUCGGGUUGUAAAGCUCUUUCGCAAGGGAAGAAACGAUGCAGUCGAAUAAACUGUGUUAAUGACGGUACCUUGAUAAGAAGCACCGGCUAACUACGUGCCAGCA
rnacentral:rRNA from 1 species